rnacentral:rRNA from 1 species
UGGGGAAUAUUGCACAAUGGGCGCAAGCCUGAUGCAGCCAUGCCGCGUGUAUGAAGAAGGCCUUCGGGUUGUAAAGUACUUUCAGCGAGGAGGAAGGCGUUGUGGUUAAUAACCGCAGCGAUUUACGUUACUCGCAGAAGAAGCACCGGCUAACUCCGUUCCAGCAGCCGAGGUAAUACGGAGGGUGCAAGCGUUAAUCGGAAUUACUGGGUGUAAAGCGCACGCAGGCGGUCUGUCAAGUCGGAUGUGAAAUCCCCGGGCUCAACCUGGGAACUGCAUCCGAAACUGGCAGGCUAGAGUCUUGUAGAGGGGGGUAGAAUUCCAGGUGUAGCGGUGAAAUGCGUAGAGAUCUGGAGGAAUACCGGUGGCGAAGGCGGCCCCCUGGACAAAGACUGACGCUCAGGUGCGAAAGCGUGGGGAGCAAACA